GAUGAACGCUGGCGGCGUGCCUAACACAUGCAAGUCGAGCGAACAGACAAGGAGCUUGCGCUCUUGAGGGUGGCGGCGGACGGAUGAGUAACACGUGGAUAACCUACCUAUUAUACUGGGAGGACUACGGGAAGCAACAUAUGAUACCAGAGAAUAUAUCGAACCGGAGGAAUCAAGAGUGCAUCGCGGUUUUCGCGUCACUAUGAGAUGGAUCCGCGCCGCAUUAGCUAGUUGGUAAGGUAACGGCUUACCAAGGCAACGAUGCGUAGCCGAUCUGAGAGGGUGAUCAGCCACACUGGAACUGAGACACGGUCCAGACUCCUACGGGAGGCAGCAGUGGGGAAUAUUCGGCAAUGGGCGAAAGCUUGAUCGAGCCACACCGCGUGAGUGAUGAAGGCCUUCGGGUCGUAAAGCUCUGUUGUUGGGGAAGAAAAGCUGUGUGAGUAACUCCCGCCGUCUUGACGGUACCUAAUCAAAAAGCCCCGGCUAACUACGUG
rnacentral:rRNA from 1 species